rnacentral:SRP_RNA from 1 species
ACGCGGGAGUCGGGCGGCGGUAACGCCGCCAACCCCGCCAGGUCCGAGAGGAAGCAACGGUAACGGUUGUGCCGGGUGUCCGGCUCCUGUAAAAU